rnacentral:rRNA from 1 species
UACGUAGGGUCCGAGCGUUGUCCGGAAUUAUUGGGCGUAAAGCGCGUGUAGGCGGCUUUGCAAGUCGGGUGUGAAAGCCCUCAGCUUAACUGAGGAAGUGCGCCCGAAACUGCAGAGCUUGAGUACCGGAGAGGAUGGCGGAAUUCCCCAAGUAGAGGUGAAAUUCGUAGAUAUGGGGAGGAACACCGGUGGCGAAGGCGGCCAUCUGGACGGAUACUGACGCUGAGACGCGAAAGCGUGGGUAGCAAACAGG